AGGACGAACGCUGGCGGCGUGCUUAACACAUGCAAGUCGAGCGGAAAGGCCCUUCGGGGUACUCGAGCGGCGAACGGGUGAGUAACACGUGAGUAAUCUGCCCCUAGCUUUGGGAUAGCUCCGGGAAACCGGGAUUAAUACCGAAUACGACCACUUUAGACAUCUUUUGUGGUGGAAAGAAUUUCGGCUAGGGAUGAGCUCGCGGCCUAUCAGCUUGUGGUGGGUAACGGCCUACCAAGGCGACGACGGGUAG
rnacentral:rRNA from 1 species